rnacentral:rRNA from 1 species
GCGAAGAAACCUUUGCAAUGUGACGCAAGCACGACAAGGUUAAUCCGAGUGUUUCCUGCUAAAGGAAUCUUUUGUUAGUCCUAAAAACACUAGCGAAGUAAGGGGGUGGGCAAGUUCUGGUGUCAGCCGCCGCGGUAAAACCAGCACCUCAAGUGGUCAGGAGGAUUAUUGGGCCUAAAGCAUCCGUAGCCUGCUCUGUAAGCUUCCGGUUAAAUCCAUCAGCUCAACUGAUGGGGCCGCCGGAAAAACUGCAAAGCUAGGGAGUGGGAGAGGUAGACGGUACUCGGUAGAAGGGGUAAAAUCCUUUGAUCUAUUGAUGACCACCUGUGGCGAAGGCGGUCUACCAGAACACGUUCGACGGUGAGGGAUGAAAG